UCUUCAGUAGUAUAGUGGUCAGUAUUUCCGCUUGUCACCAUAACUGGCAACUCGCGGGAGACCGGGGUUCAAUUCCCCGCUGGAGAG
rfam:Alternaria alternata strain SRC1lrK2f unplaced genomic scaffold CC77scaffold_23, whole genome shotgun sequence.